rnacentral:rRNA from 1 species
GUUAAGCGACUAAGCGUACACGGUGGAUGCCCUGGCAGUCAGAGGCGAUGAAGGGCGUGCUAAUCUGCGAUAAGCGCCGGUAAGGUGAUAUGAACCGUUAUAACCGGCGAUACCCGAAUGGGGAAACCCAGUGUGAUUCGUCACACUAUCAUUAACUGAAUCCAUAGGUUAAUGAGGCGAACCGGGGGAACUGAAACAUCUAAGUACCCCGAGGAAAAGAAAUCAACCGAGAUUCCCCCAGUAGCGGCGAGCGAACGGGGAGGAGCCCAGAGCCUGAAUCAGCAUGUGUGUUAGUGGAAGCGUCUGGAAAGGCGCGCGAUACAGGGUGACAGCCCCGUACACAAAAGCGCAUGUGCUGUGAGCUCGAUGAGUAGGGCGGGACACGUGGUAUCCUGUCUGAAUAUGGGGGGACCAUCCUCCAAGGCUAAAUACUCCUGACUGACCGAUAGUGAACCAGUACCGUGAGGGAAAGGCGAAAAGAACCCCGGCGAGGGGAGUGAAAAAGAACCUGAAACCGUGUACGUACAAGCAGUGGGAGCACCCUUCGGGG